GUAGGUGGCAAGCGUUGUCCGGAAUUAUUGGGCGUAAAGCGCGCGCAGGCGGUCCUUUAAGUCUGAUGUGAAAGCCCACGGGCUCAACCGUGGAGGGUCAUUGGAAACUGGGGGACUUGAGUACAGAAGAGGAAAGCGGAAUUCCACGUGUAGCGGUGAAAUGCGUAGAGAUGUGGAGGAACACCAGUGGCGAAGGCGGCUUUCUGGUCUGUAACUGACGCUGAGGCGCGAAAGCGUGGGGAGCAAACAGGAUUAGAUACCCUGGUAGUCCACGCCGUAAACGAUGAGUGCUAAGUGUUAGGGGGGUUUCCGCCCCUUAGUGCUGCAGCUAACGCAUUAAGCACUCCGCCUGGGGAGUACGGCCGCAAAGGCUG
rnacentral:rRNA from 1 species